ACGGGUGAGUAACGCGUGGGAACGUACCCUUUACUACGGAAUAACGCAUGGAGACGUGUGCUAAUACCGUAUGUGCCCUAUUGGGGAAAGAUUUAUCGGUAAAGGAUCGGCCCGCGUUGGAUUAGCUAGUUGGUGGGGUAAAGGCCUACCAAGGUGACGAUCCAUAGCUGGUCUGAGAGGAUGAUCAGCCACAUUGGGACUGAGACACGGCCCAAACUCCUACGGGAGGCAGCAGUGGGGAAUAUUGGACAAUGGGCGCAAGCCUGAUCCAGCCAUGCCGCGUGAGUGAUGAAGGCCUUAGGGUUGUAAAGCUCUUUCACCGGAGAAGAUAAUGACGGUAUCCGGAGAAGAAGCCCCGGCUAACUUCGUGCCAGCAGCCGCGGUAAUACGAAGGGGGCUAGCGUUGUUCGGAUUUACUGGGCGUAAAGCGCACGUAGGCGGAUCGAUCAGUCAGGGGUGAAAUCCCAGAGCUCAACUCUGGAACUGCCUUUGAUACUGUCGAUCUGGAGUAUGGAAGAGGUGAGUGGAAUUCCGAGUGUAGAGGUGAAAUUCGUAGA
rnacentral:rRNA from 1 species